rnacentral:rRNA from 1 species
UGGAGGAAACUCUGAUGCAGCAACGCCGCGUGGAGGAUGACGCAUUUCGGUGUGUAAACUCCUUUUAUGAGUCAAGAAAAUGACGGUAGCUCAUGAAUAAGCACCGGCUAACUCCGUGCCAGCAGCCGCGGUAAUACGGACGGCGCAAGCGUUACUCGGAAUCACUGGGCGUAAAGGACGCGUAGGCGGGUUAUCAAGUCAGGUGUGAAAUCCUAUGGCUCAACCAUAGAACUGCACUUGAAACUGGCUACCUAGAGUAUGGGAGGGGCAGAUGGAAUUAGUGGU